UACGAAGGGGGCUAGCGUUGCUCGGAAUUACUGGGCGUAAAGCGCACGUAGGCGGUCUUUUAAGUCGGGGGUGAAAUCCUGGAGCUCAACUCCAGAACUGCCUUCGAUACUGGAAGACUUGAGUCCGGGAGAGGUGAGUGGAACUGCGAGUGUAGAGGUGAAAUUCGUAGAUAUUCGCAAGAACACCAGCGGCGAAGGCGGCUCACUGGCCCGGUACUGACGCUGAGGUGCGAAAGCGUGGGGAGCAAACAGG
rnacentral:rRNA from 1 species